rnacentral:rRNA from 1 species
GACGAACGCUGGCGGCGUGCUUAACACAUGCAAGUCGAACGGAAAGGCCCUGCUUUUGUGGGGUGCUCGAGUGGCGAACGGGUGAGUAACAUGUGAGUAACCUGCCCUUGACUUUGGGAUAACUUCAGGAAACUGGGGCUAAUACCGGAUAGGAGCUCCUGCUGCAUGGUGGGGGUUGGAAAGUUUCGGCGGUUGGGGAUGGACUCGCGGCUUAUCAGCUUGUUGGUGGGGUAGAGGCUUACCAAGGCUUUGACGGGUAGCCGGCCUGAGAGGGUGACCGGCCACAUUGGGACUGAGAUACGGCCCAGACUCCUACGGGAGGCAGCAGUGGGGAAUAUUGCACAAUGGGCGGAAGCCUGAUGCAGCAACGCCGCGUGCGGGAUGACGGCCUUCGGGUUGUAAACCGCUUUCGCCUGUGACGAAGCGUGAGUGACGGUAAUGGGUAAAGAAGCACCGGCUAACUACGUG